rnacentral:lncRNA from 1 species
UUUAUAAAUAUUAAAAUAUAAUAAAUUAUAAAAUUUUAAAUAUUUUUUAAAAAUUUAUUUUAAAAAAUAUUAUGUAGUCAUUAUGUAUCUAAUUUGGAUAUCGGGAUGUGACAAAAAAAUUCAUCAUCAUUUUAUAAAUGCAAUGAUGGAACAGUUGGCUGUCUCUGUUCCUUCCAUAUUGGCUGUCUUUUGUUCUUCAUGGC